UUGGAUAGGUUGCAAAUGAUUAUUUUAAUUAGUUGUUCUGAAAAUGAUUUUAAAAAUAUUAUUAUUUGCAAAUAUUGCGUAUUCGGGAUAUCUUGAGUUUUUGAAAUAGUUUAUUUUUAGAUUUGAGAAAUAUUUUGAGACCCCUAUAUUCAUAUUUAUUUAUGGCUUUUAAUUAUAAUUUGGGUGUUGAUUUUUAAUAUAUAAAUAGUUUUGUAAGAAUCAUUUAGUUUUAUGAGUCAGUUGUUUACGCAGCAGGUGCAUAGGCUGUACGUGGCUAAACAGAUUAGGAUAAAAAGGAAAUAGAGUACAGGGAGGUUUAAAAAAAAACAAAACAGAGUAGAAAAGGGGGCGGCUAGAAAUUAGGGUUUGGGGUGCAAGAGAUUUUGAGAGGAAGGGAGGAUCGAUUAUAUAUGUUAAUCGAAUAAUUGCUUGUUGAUGGGUGUAUAUAUAUGCAUAGUUGUAGGCGUUGUUUUGUGCGAUCGAGCGAGCUUUGUUUGUUGAGCCGCCGCCGAUCGGAGGUGUCAUGGCUGGAGAGAAGAAGACAGGGAGAGGUUCAGGCGGCAAAUGAUGUCUAGCAUCGCCGCCGCGACGCCGACAAGAGGCGGAGACGUGUGGCAGCGACUGGCCAGGGAGGAAAGAAACAGAGGCUCGGGUUUCGGUGGUGAUUGAACGCCGAUUGACGGGGCUUGUAGUUGUUGGCUGUGGAGUACAGCCACAGGGUAGCUAGGUCCAUGGUGGUCUCGAUGGGUGGUGAUGGCCUGGCUGUUUGGAUGUCGGACUGUAAAGGAGGGGUUAGGGCGGUCGAAUUCAGAUUUCAAGGGACUGGUUGUUUGCGACGGAGAGAUUGAGUUUGAAGGUGCGUACAGAGUUGAAGGCUGGUGUUUGAUUCGGAGAUGAUAUGGGUAGACGGAGGCGUUGUUGGUUGAGGUGGAAUGGUGGAGUACAGGUGCUGAUUUGUGAAUUAACAGGGUGUAGUUUUUGCUAGUUUGGGUGUCUGCUGUGUUAGGUUUGGCCAAAAGAAGCCGGCAGAAGCUGCUUUGGGCUGGCUUGAUUUGGGUAAUUCGGAAUUAGGAGGAAUAGAGAGGGCUGAAGCGAAGAUAGGGUAAUGGAUGAAGGUUAUGAUGAUUUGAGGUCGGAAGUUUAAGAGGGAAGGGAGAUGGAUCAAGUCUUGGAUUCAGGUGUAGGUGUUGUUGUUUGUGUAUAUGAGCUGGAGUUAAGGACAAAGGGGGUCGGGGAAGCCAAAUUACAGGUCUGGUAGUUGUAGUAAAGGUGGGGGAUAGUCGUGUGAGGUUGCAAUAUCAACGAUAGAAGUCUAUCAAGACGCGUACAUCAAUGACUUUCAGAAGCAAGCCAACAGUGAUGCAUAUCAAGUCAGAAUUAGUUUGAUAAGGCGAUAUAGUGCCGUGAGAUAGAGCAAUAGAGUAUAGUGAUUGCAGAAUUAGCAAUUGAGGCCAGCCUAGGAUUUUGAGUAGUGUGACUGUAUGUCACCCGUUUUCUGUCAAAGGCAAGUAUU